AAAUCUCCGGGCUCAACCCGGAAAUGGCGUUGGAUACUGUNCGGCUAGAGGGUUNGAGGGGGGACUGGAAUACUUGGUGUAGCAGUGAAAUGCGUAGAUAUCAAGUGGAACACCAGUGGCGAARRCAGUCCNCUGGACAAGCUCUGACACUGAGGCACGAAAGUCAGGGGAGCAAACAGGAUUAGAUACCCUGGUAGUCCUAGCUGUAAACNGUNCACGUUUNCUGUAAAANGAAUCGUACCCCUUUUNUNNCGUACGUAACNCGUUAAAC
rnacentral:rRNA from 1 species